rnacentral:lncRNA from 1 species
GGCAAUAUGGGGUUUGUGCUAAAAUUACCUGGGGACCUUACCAAAGACUUCAGUUCUUUUCAUCACUACCCUCAUUAGUGUGAUCAUCAUACCUCUCCCACAGAAUUUACUGAACGUUAGCUCUUUGUCCGUCUGUUUGAUUUCCACACUAGAUGGUGAACCCUUCAAUGGCAAACAUCUAUUCAAUCAAAAAGCACAGUCAUUUCACAGCUCCAGAACAACAUAGACCAGUUUUCUUUUCUGGGGAUCAGCCAAUCUUACUUUCUCCUCAGAGGCUGUCACUUGAGGAAUACUUUUUGAUAUGGCUUUUUACUAUGGCUUAUACAGGGAUGGUGAGAAAUAUAUGCUUUCUCAAGGAUCAGACUCUGUUUCAGGAACUGCUGCAUUUUUAA